rnacentral:lncRNA from 1 species
ACUGAGUAUACUGGGCCCAGCCAGAUUCUCUGGGUGCUUUCUUCUUUCUUAGUUCCCCCUUUAUUGUGGGCCCUCCUCAGUGCCAACAUUGCUUUGUCUCUCGCUGGAGAAGCCUGUGAGAACGAGGAUGGGCAAAGUGUCAGGCUCUUGGUGCAGCUGAAAAUCCUUUGAGAUGGAAGAAAUGGCUGGAACAAAGGGGCAGAGGAACAAAAAGCCCUGAACUGCUUCGCCCCUGCCUCGUGGGGUCUUUAUCAUCUUAAACCUUGGGAUUUGGGCUUUGAUCAACUCGGCCUUCCUGGGCCUCGGGGAGAGAGACGGACUGCCUCCGGGUGCUCAUGACCUUUCCAGCAGUAAGCCAAUAAUGUAUGACUCCUGCGUUGCCGUUGCUCGUUUGAGGAACAUCUGUCCAGUCCCUGGGAUGGUGAGGCUAUAACCACAAAGGAAUAAGAGAAGACGACUAGUUUUGUAAUGGGAUUUGCUCUCUUUUGAGGAUCAAGAGCCACAGAAUGCUAAAGGGAGGCAGAGUCUCGGAGGUCCCCUGUGAAGUGGGAAAUCACCUGGAUGCAGUGGGGCCCUUCAAGUGCAUCACCAAAAAAAACCAUCCCAGAAGGCACAGUGGAUUGAAGAGGGGGGCAGUGCUGAGUCAUUCACGUGGUGUGUGAGGGCUCCUGUUUGUAAAUCAGGGAUUCUUGCAGCCUGCUUUUUCAGGGACAUUGGCUGCUGUCUUCUGACCCACCCUGUGUGGCUUUGGCGUCUCCUGUGACCUCCCAGUAUGGGUCUUGGCCUCAUCCUGCCUCUUUGUCUUUCUGGCCCACCACCCACAGCUUGAAUCUCAGGCUCCAACAGUUGCCUGACCCCCAGAUUCUGAUGACAGCCUACCUACUUGUUCUUCAGGCCCUCACCAGACUCACUGCCCAGACACACCACACAGGAGAACAUGAAAGGGUGAAUGAAUCUUUCAUCAUUUGAUGACCAAGUUGGCAUUCUUUUACAUUCCAGCCACCAGAGGAAGGUGUAUUUUAACACAAUUGCCCUCACAUCCUCCUUAACAGGAUUUACAUAAGUUUAUUAACACAUAUGUUUCUACAAAAUCAAGUUUUGAGAACCAUUUUUAUACACUGAUCUGGGACAUUUUGGGGAUAUGAAAUUAACUUUAGCACACACAGCAAGAAGAAAACCGAACAACAAAUUCUACAAACACCAAAUUUGCUGUGAAAUUUACAUUUCAGAAUCUCUCAAGAAAUAGUGCCCAGCAGCAAUUCUUACUGUUUUCACUUUUUCCCCCGUCUUCACAUUUUUAUGUUUGACAGUGCCAACAUAUUUUCUCAACAUUUAUUCUGAAAGGAAUGUACUUUGUGAAUUCCUUAAAUGCAGGAUGAUUCUGAUUUUAUUGGCCUAAUAGCUCCUCCUUAUGCGUGGGUUAGUAUAACAGAAUGCAUUUGAGACCUGCUAUACUAUUUUAAAUUAAGACAUUUCAUGUAGCACAUAGUAUUUUAAAAUGAAGAACAUUGUCUUGGAAAGCACACAGGCUAACUGCUAUUUUCUUGAUGCAAGAAAUAUUUAAAUUCUCUGUGCUUCAGUCUAUACAAUCAGUUUUCCAGGGAUGCUGUGUAUAUAAAACGAGGGAGUGUAUUAAGAGUAUCAGCAUGUAGUAGGUCCUUCAACAGAAGCUGGAGGUUCUGGCUCAAGGUCUGGCUUGUGUUCAAUGAACACCAAACCACAUAAUUGCCC